rnacentral:rRNA from 1 species
AUUGAACGCUGGCGGAAGGCUUAACACAUGCAAGUCGAACGAGUGGCGGACGGGUGAGUAAUGUUUGGGAAUCUAGCUUAUGGAGGGGGAUAACUACGGGAAACUGUAGCUAAUACCGCGUACCAUAGGAUGUGCCAAAGUGGGAUUAGGUAGUUGGUGAGGUAAAGGCUCACCAAGACGAAGAUCUCUAGAUGGUCUGAGAGGAUGACCAGCCACACGGGGCCUGGGACACGGCCCAGACUCCUACGUGAGGCAGCAGUGGGGAAUAUUGCUCAAUGGGGGCAACCUGACGCAGCCAUGCCGCGUGAAUGAAGAAGGCCUUCGGGUUGUAAAGGUCUUUCGGUAGCGAGGCGUUAACUACAGAAGAAGCACCGGCUAACUCCGUGCCAGCAGCCGCGGUAAUUC